AACGCGCUUCGGAUCCCCGGCGGAGGGCAGCGAGGGCGCGCAUCUCUGUCCUCCGCUUGUGAAGCGACUGCAGGGGAGCCAGAUGCCCGACUGUGAGCCGCUGCCUGUGGAUACCCAUCCUAAAUGCCAGAGCAGGCAAGACUCGCAGACACGCUUUACUCCGUGACGGAGAAGAGGAGAGAAUAGAGGCAGUUAAAGGAGUAAAAAUUGUGUUUUGUUUUGUUUUGUUUUUUUUUAAAUUUCCAAUUCCCCCCCCCGCCCCUCUCUUGUUUUUGCCCCUACUCGCUCUCCCAGCUUCAACCAAAAGAAGAGCUUCCUUGGACUUGGAGUACCGAGCAUCAGUUGAAAAUAAAGCCGCUAUCCCACUCUGCCCCUGCUAUUGCGGCGCUGUUAACUGUGAGCGCGUCCCCACACUGCUUUGGAAUAUACGCGUAAAACCAUGGAGAUUAUAUGACGUGGAUUUAUUUAUUUUUUUAAUACUACUAUUAUUAUUAUUUUAAAUGUUCUAACAAAACUGGACACCUACAAUAACGAAGUCCUUCUUCUUUCAUUUCACCAUCGCAUUAUUAUUUUUUGCGUUGUUCUGUUCUGUUCUUUCAUUUGAUCUGUGGAUGCUUUUUCUUUUAAAUUGAUCAUUAUUAUUUCAUGUCCGUAGCUAUUCUUCUUUCUUUUUAAUUGAUCGAAUCAUUGAUUUGUUUUCCACACUUAUUGUUUCUGGGUUUGAUUCGGACACGCCAAAGUGGGAUGCCUCGCGGAGAACAUUUGUUGGAAGAAGAUUCCGCGCGGCUGCGAGGGUGAAUGAAUGAUAGUAUCCCCUCUCAGUCUGAGACGUGCCAUGGAUGGGAAACUUAAUUUGUAUCAGCGGAACCGAUCGGGGAAUAGCCGUCGCAUCAAAUAACUGCUGCUGACAGCGAUCAGGACGAAUGUCAUAGGAUGAACACUGCUGGUGGGGUGUGUCUGUCUGUGCUGUCCUCUCUCCUGGCUGUGGCUGGGGCCCUGGCUGCCGUGUCUGCCCUCGCUCUAGCUCCUCUCUCUGCCCUGGCUGAGGCUGCCUAUGGGGUUGCCAAUAGCGUCCCCAGCACCGGGGCAGAGGGGGCCCCCUCGCCUUUGUCCUCACCAUGCUCCAGCCUUGUAGCUGGAGUGCUCUAUGGCUCUUUCUCCCUAAGGGAGCUUUUUCCCUCCAGGGCACCGGGUUGUUCCUGGUCUCUGGAAAACCCGGAUCCCACCAAGUACUCCCUCUAUCUCCGCUUCACGCGCCACCCUGUCAUUUGUAGGACACACUCCCCCAUGCUCCUUUCCCUUGACCACCACCUAGCCAAUCAAAGCUGUCCCCUGCACUUACAGACGGCCACAGCCAGAGAUCAGGAAGUCAUCGAUCUUUGUGGCAGCCGCACCAGUUCAGACGGACCUUACUCCUUUCUGCAGUUCGAUAAGAACUUUGUCCAACUGUGUCUAACGAGACAUCCAGCUGCAGAUGAGCCUCAGGUAUCUAAGGAAUUGCUGGAGCUGAGACUGGUAGAGGUGUUACUCAUUAACAACGAAAACUCCAGUCAGUUUACCUGCGGUGUGCUCUGCCGAUGGUUCGAGGAGUGUUUGCGCACUGAUCACAAUGCAGACCAGGAGGUUUCUGAUGGGGAUGGUUGUGGGAUGACCCAGACAGGCUGUAUUUGUCCAAAUCACAACAUUAUGGCACCACCUGUUCCUCUGCUCCCAGAGACACCGCACACUUUCAGUAACGGGUCACUGGCUCCUGAUGACUGUUGCGUCACCGAACUGCAUUCCAAUGAUGCAAUCGCCAUAGCGCCCCGAGACGUACGACAAGACCCGUAUGAUGACGACCUGAAGGUGAAGACCCAAAGACCACGAUCAGCUGACCAGCCAGGUGUGUUUCAGGCACAAACAGGUGACCCAGCAGCGGAGGAAUGGUCGCAGUGGAGUGUGUGUUCUCUGACAUGUGGGCAGGGCUGGCAAGUGAGGACCCGAUCGUGUGUUUCUUCUCCCUAUGGGACACUGUGCAGCGGUGCCCUGCGGGAAACACGCAUGUGCAACAACACGGCCUCUUGCCCAGGUGAACCCGGAAUCACAGGCUCAGUGCAUGGGCUGUGGGAGGAAUGGUCGUCAUGGAGUCUGUGCUCUGUGACCUGUGGGCGGGGCUCCAGGACACGAACCAGGAAGUGCAUGGACGGCAGCGGGGCUGUAGCUUGUGGACGGCCUGAGGUUCAGACCAAACUCUGCAACAUAGCAGUGUGUCCUGUGGAGGGCCAGUGGUCAGACUGGGGGCCUUGGUCGAAAUGCAGCGUGACUUGUGACACAGGGACCGAGCAGAGGCAGAGGCGCUGUAGCCCAUCGGUGCACGGCUGGGCUGAAUGCAAAGGCCCCCAUCAGGAGAGCAGAGAAUGCACCAACCCUUCGUGCUCCGGUGGAGGUAACUGGGGCAGCUGGAACCACUGGAGUCUCUGCAGCAAGACGUGUGACUCUGGAUGGCAGCGGCGCAUCAGGAUGUGCGAGGGCACUGGAUUGCAAGGCUACCCGUGUGAUGGCUUAGGAGAGGAGGUCCGGUCGUGUAAUGAGAAAAAGUGCCCUGCGCCUCAUGAGAUAUGCAAAGACGAGCAUCUCCUCUCGAUGUCAUGGAAGAGAGCCUCAGCUGGAGAAACUGUCUACAACAAAUGUCCAACGAAUGCUACUGGAUCUGCUAGUCGUCGUUGUAUGCUGGACAAUAAUGGAGUUGCUUUCUGGGGUCCUCCGAGCUUCGCCAGAUGCGUCUCACUUGAAUAUAGAUAUUUACAUUUAUCUUUACGAGAGCAUCUCGCGAAGGGUCAGAGGACCCUGGCUGGGGAGGGCAUGUCUCAGAUCGUACGGAGUCUCCUGGAGCUCUUGCAGAGAAGGAGCUACUACAGUGGCGACCUUCUCUUUUCCACGGAGAUCCUGCGAAAUGUGACGGACACCUUCAAAAGAGCAACCUACAUCCCAGCUCCCGACGACGUGCAGAAAUUCUUCCAGAUUGUCAGCCACAUGUUGGACAUUGAAAAUUUAGAAAAAUGGGAGGACGCUCACCAGAUCGCUCCCGGUGCUGCUUUGCUGAUGAGGAUAUUGGAAGAUUUCAUUCACCUCAUUGGAGAGGCCCAGAAGCCUUUUCAGAGUUUUCUAGUGGUUACCAACAACCUCAUGGUAACCAUUCAGAGAGAACCAGUGUCAGCAGUUUCCAGCGAUAUCAACUUCCCCAUGAAGGGCCGAAGGGGCAUGAAGGACUGGGCCCGAACAGCGGAAGAUAAGCUCUACAUCCCGAAAGAGGUUUUCACCAUCCCACCUGAAGAGCAAGAAGCCGAAACAGAAUCUACAAUGUACUAUGUCAUUGGAGCCAUCUUGUACAGGACACUUGGCAUCAUUUUACCUCCAGCGACUCCGCCUGCAGUGAUCAACUCCAAAAUCCUGACCGUGACAAUACGACCGGAACCACAACCCAGUGAGCCCAUGGUGGUGGUGGAGCUGUCACCGCUAUUAAAUGGUACAUCAGAUCCUCAGUGCGUUGUCUGGGACUAUGGAAACCCGGAAGCUGGCGCAGAAAACUGGGGCACAGAAGGCUGCCAAACGCUCGCGUCAACCGCUGUCCAUACCAAAUGCCUGUGCAGCAGAAUAUCCACCUACGCCGUGUUAGCGCAGCAAGCUAAAGACCCGGACAUGGGUCCUACCAGCAUGCCCUCUGUGCCCCUUAUGGUGGGGUGCGGCAUCUCCUGCACCGCUCUGCUCAUCCUGCUGCUAAUAUAUGCUGCCUUCUGGAGGUAUAUCCGGUCGGAGAGAUCGAUCAUCUUGGUGAAUUUUUGCCUCUCCAUCCUGGCCUCCAAUUUAUUAAUUCUGGUCGGACAAUCACAAACGCUUAGCAAGGGCCUCUGUACUGUGACUGCUGCCUUCCUGCAUUUCUUCUUCUUGGCAUCCUUCUGCUGGGUGCUGACUGAGGCGUGGCAGUCCUACCUGGCAGUCAUUGGCAAAAUGAGGUCACGACUCAUUCGCAAGCGGUUUCUGUGCCUCGGCUGGGGUCUUCCAGCCCUUGUUGUAGCAGUGUCAGUGGGUUUCACCAGAGCGAGAGGUUACGGCACAGCCAGCUAUUGCUGGCUAUCGUUGGAAGGCGGUUUGCUUUAUGCCUUUGUUGGGCCAGCUGCUGUCAUUGUAUUGGUGAAUAUGCUUAUUGGAAUCGUGGUGUUUAACAAGCUCAUGUCUCGAGACGGCAUCUCAGACAAGUCUAAAAAGCAGCGUGCUGGUGUCCCAGCGGAGGCGCGUAGCCGACUGCUCCUGAAAUGCUCCAAGUGUGGCGUGAUCUCAAGCACCGCUAUGUCCAACUCGACUGCCAGCAGCGCCAUGGCAUCUCUGUGGAGCUCCUGUGUGGUUCUCCCGCUGCUAGCGUUAACCUGGAUGUCAGCGGUCCUGGCCAUAACUGACCGGCGCUCCACACUCUUCCAGGUUCUCUUUGCCGUCUUCGACUCUGUUCAAGGCUUUGUUAUCAUCACCGUCCACUGCGCCAUGCGCCGAGAGGUGCAGGACGCAGUGCGCUGUCGAAUGGGGGGAUGUAAAGACGACAGCGAAAACUCACCAGACUCCUGCAAGAAUGGACAGGUGCAGAUCAUGAAAUGUGCAAAUGUGAGCGCCUGUGGAAAGCAGAGCGGGUCUUUGCGUUACGGCACAUCACUGUGCUUAUCAGGUUGCCACGCACAGCCGCUCCCACCAGCGUGCCACCAGACAUCCCAGCAAGGCUGUUACCACAGUCUGACCCAUGGCAACCACAGCCACGCAUUGAGCCAUGUUAAUGAGCAUACCCCCAUCCUCAACAACAACCAUAACCACGCCCAUAAUCACAUCAGCAGCCAACCAACGGAUUUUGAGAAGGACGUUGACUUGGCUUGUCAAACAGAGAGAGGACACCCAUUCAUUUUCAAAGAGGUGAACACCUGUAACCCAGCCACUAUCACUGGGACCCUUUCCCGCAUCUCCCUGGAUGAUGAGGACGAUCCUAAGCUGGCAGCCCAUCAGGAGGGCGGAGUAGGGGUCAACUUCAGCACUCUCCCAGGGAACAUCCCCCCUCCUAACCUUAUUGUACAGGUUCCACCUCUGGGAGGCCUCAAUGAGCUGAGUGAGACCCCCCUAAAGAAGGAAGUGAAUGUGGACCAGCAGAGACAACAGGGACAGCAACGCGGCGGUGCUCCGAUCUACCUGUGCACCGAGAGUGGCCUGGGCUGGGCUCGACCUCCGGCUUCAUCCAACACCUCCCAGGACGGAAGUGCUGGAAGCGGAGGGGGUGGGGGAGACGGAGGAGAGGGGGGUGGUGGAGGAGAGGGGGACUACAUGGUCUUACCUCGCAGGACAGUCACUUUCAAACCUGCAACACCCUCCUCCCAAGGAGGAGGCCUGGGACUGGGGGGUGAGGAUAAGCCUCUCAACAUUGCAGUGGAGGAUCCUCCCUUCCCGCCACCUCCCUCUCCUCUGACCCUUCACCCGGCAGAGAGUGAGGCCUAUCCGGCGGAUUUUGUGCCAUCCAGUGUGGGUGACAUGAACAUCACCAUGAACCUCAACCGCUCCUUUGGGACGAUCAAAACAUUGCCCCAUGGGCAGGGCCACUUGAUGCCUCAGGGUGGUCUUGUGCACUCCCAUGGAGGACAUAUGCAUUCCCAUGGGAAUUCUUUGCAGCUAAAGCCGGGCCAGAGACCUUCAGUCAGACAGAUUCUGACAGGGGGAACAACAGUGGAGAGAACCAGGACCCUGCCACGCAACCUGGGCAGCACCAAUGCCAACACCAGCCUCUCAGCAGGAUCCCUGGAGAGGAAAAGAGUACGGUACUCUGAACUGGACUUCGAGAAAGUGAUGCACACUCGCAAAAGACAUUCUGAGCUGUACCAUGAGCUCAACCACUCGUCCAAGUUCCACACCAUAGACAGGUAUAGCAGGGACCCAGCCAUGUCCACAUUCAAGUUUGAAUGUAGCCAGACAGUCAGCAGAACCAUGGGCAUCCAAGUCAACAAAGGUAAAGUUAACCCACUUACCCACAACCCACCUGUCAUCUCCCAGAGACAGCCUGCCACAUUGCUCACCCACACUCAGACACGAUUUCCAAUUCCACAGUCCAAAUGAGGGGGGUUCUGAGUGGCAGAGAGUGGGCCUCAUCCACCAACAUUGUAGCAGAGGCUUCUAGAGAUGGCCUUAGAUGUUUGUGCUGUAGCGUUGUUUGAGUGCGUACCCUCCCACUGACUCCCUACGUGUUCUCUUCACUUUGCUUUGUUGUGCUUGCAGCUUGUAGCGUUUUCUACCUCAUAGCUUGCCUGAAACUUUUAAGUGCAGGGCAAAAUUUUCUGCUUUCUGGCUCCAACCUCUUUACCCAGCGUUAGAAGGUGUAUUUGGGGUAUUGCAGUGCUAGUAGCAACAUGAGUUCAAUUUUCCCCUGCUGUAUCUGCAAAAAUAUAAUGGAAAGUACAUUUCAGGACCCCCAUGAUUCCUCAUUAAACAGCAGUGGAGCGCUGCAGGUGAGUUGCUUUUGUGUGUUAAAUUGCGAAGGUAUAUAAACCUGUAUUGUUUGGUACAGUUGUGAGCACUGAUUGUGCAUAAACUCGGCUUUUAAAGGGUAGUUGUUUAAUCGCAAAUUGCCAUUUUGAUUGAUGAAAGGCAGAAAUAUGAAGGUACUCAUUAUCAUGACUGAAGCAUGUGAGAAAACAUGAGCCAUAAAUUCAGCCUUCAGAAAUGGUCCAUUAAGUUUAACCUAUUGCCUAAACCCUAAUAUGCUUGGCUUUUCUAGUGGCUUUUGACGCAUAUAAAUAAGGUACAUCAAAGUCUUCUUGUGCACUUUGGACCACUUUCAGCAUGAUUGUUGUUUUUAGGGCACUCCCCGGAAGUCUCGUUAUGACCAGUUGCCCUUGUGUCUCUGUAAUGUUGGCUUCAUGUCAAAGGUAGUUCAGUUUUCUCCCACUGAAAACGCUGCAUCCAGAUAAACAGAAUCCACUUUGCGCUAUUUCCGUACCUGGAUGAUUGAGCGUGCAUCAAGACAUGAAAGCUGCACGGUUGGUGCUGGAGAACCAGCUGUUAUAACCAGUGAUCAUCCUCCAUAAGAAUUGUGGGUGGUUUAAAAUAGGAUUUGUUUGCUCUAUGCGCAGAUUUGGAGAUCCAUGGUGCGAUCACAGUCUGUCACAUCCAGGAAAUAAGGGGCCGUAACAGCAUCACAGUUCAAUAUGAUUAUAAUGGGACUUCCUGGGAGUGAUCUGAAAACAGCUAGAAAAAGUGUGGACAUGCCCAAGACAAGAUUUUGCUCACAGAUUAUAUUGACAUGAUCGAAGAAAGAAACAGUAAAUCUGACUCCUGAACAGUCGUUUUUUGACAUUAAAGGGGAAGACUCUUUAAUCUAACAAAGCAGCACCAUUUUUGCAUCUUUUUAUCUAGUCACACACAUCAAGACACACUUCCAAACACCCACACAAACUCUGCGAAGCUCUUCCUGAAAGAAAGCUGUGCAAUUCACUAUUUUAUAGAGAAAGAAAAGAAUAAAUACGAACAUAGAAUUGGGUGUUUCGCAAACUUUUUGCAGAAACUUAAAACUAUGUAGGAUAAAAAAGAAAAGCUUGAGUCAAUAUGUUCGAUAUUAACUGCUGCUGGGAAUCAAUCUGGGGCCGUUCCUGAGGCGGGCUGGGAGUUAGAGUCCAAAUAAUGAGUCCCCACCUCAAGCUCACCGUGGCAUAAACACAUAGCUGUAUGAAGCCGCUGAUCUGUCAGCACAAUAACCAAGAGAACUCCAAUGCCAGACGCCUUUGAACUAAAAAAAAAAAGAAGGAUAACAUUGCAACGUUACAGCCGGGGAAACACGGUUUAUGUAUUUGAGCCAAAGGCAGAACAUACAGAGUCAGCAGCGUCCACUUUAUAGCCCAGCUUGAACUUUUUUUAUGUGCUAUGUUAACACCUACAGUGUAAAAUCAAUAAUGCAGAUAGCGAAGAUAGCAUUUCCUUGCACUAAUAACCAGAUUAGUUAUCUUCUUUCAACAUCAUUCCAAAAACAUGAGCUUCAAAGCCCUCCAGCACUGUGCAGGAGGGCUUCAAGAAUGAGAUUAUACUCAUACUCGCAUCCCUUAUAUAGUAGUCGUAGUUACUGUUAGUUACUGUCAGCUGUGUAGCAUGUAGAGUCUUUUCUUUCACUCUGUCCUCGCAUUCACAGUUCACCUCUAAGCACUGACGGAUCAUGAUAUUGAAAAUAUAGGCUGUUCCAACACAUUUCAACUGUAACCAUGCUGACAUUGAUCACUGUCUGCACUGUUUCUGUCCAUGUGUGCAUGAUGUGUGUGUGUGAGUGUGUUAUAUAUAUAUAUAUAUAUUUAUUUUUUUAUUUUUUUUCGUGAGAGCUGGUGAGAGAGAUGGAGACAGGGAGAGACGAGGGGUAAGGUGUAAGCUCAAAGCAACAACUGCCUGCUCACCUGAUGAAGGUGUGGGAACAAUGCUGUUGUUUCAGGGCAGAGUUGUCAGUGACUGUGAUCCUCACCCCCCACCUCCCCCUCACCCCACUCCCUCCUCCUCUGUCCUCCUCUCUCUCUCUCCCUCUCACCCCGUCCUUGUCUUCUCCCUCCCAUUUCAUCACCACAGAGGGAAAAGCGAUGGAGCAUUUCGUCUGCCGGCGGUGAAAAGAACUCAUCGAGUGACAAGUCAACCCCAGAGGACCAAAGCUCUUGGGACAGCUUCAAGACCAUGACCCCCGAGCUGUCCAUCGUGCCCGGGGAGCAGAAGGACCGGAUG